UCCUCCUCCCCUCUUCCUCCUCCUUCUCCUCUCCCCCUCCCUCUCCCUCCUCCUCCUAGUCCCCCCGUCGGACUCCCGUUGGCAGAUCGCUUCUGGAGCCGCUCCUGCCGCUGCCCCCACUCAGUUCAUUGUCCUGCGCCAGACGCCCAACCGAGUGAUCGGGCUGUACACAGCGGUAGACAGUCGCAGGACCUCAGCUGAGUGCACAGCUAAAAGAGCCUGUGGGUCGCGAGCCGCAGUUUGCUGACCCCUGGCGGCUCUUCGGACUCAAAAAUUUGCUGACCCCUGAUCUAGAUAAAACUGUUACCGGCCAUCUGAGCAGCCCCCCACCAAUGAGAAACUUGGGCCUUGGGGAUACAGAGGACACCCCAACAAGUUUGCCAGUCACAACCAAAGAAGCCAAUACAGUCUUCCAGGUGGACCUCAAGACCCCUUUCUCUCAUCUGAGAUCAGCUAGGUGUCUGUCACAGGUUACAAGGCGUCAGCUAGAGCUGCAGUGUCAUCUCAAGGUUCAGCUGGGACAGGAUCCACUUCCAAACUCAUUCACAUGACUGGAGUGAAUGACUGGAUUGGCCGAAUUCACUUCCUUGCUGGCUGUUGGACUGAGGGCUUGAGUUCUUUGCCAGGCCCCAAAAUUAAGGUGCGUCUCAUACAUGGGGAAAUACGGUGUUAAAGAACAAAAUUCAACCAAGCAAAUCUGAAGAUCUAAUUAGCUUUAUUAAGCAAUUCAUGAAUCACGCAGCAUCCCAUCUAGCAACUAGAAGGGCACUAUGAUGAGUUGCACAAAAUGGAAGGUUUUUAUAGACAGAAAGAGAGUGAGACUAUCCAGACUGAUUGGUUUAAAAAUUCCACUCCUGGGAGAGUCUGAAACUACAAUCAAGUUAUCUAUUAAGUUUUGGUUUGGUGGCAUGGCAUAGCAAAAUUAAUUCAAUUUUGGGGGUGGCCGGGUGCCUCAGUCGGUUAGAGUGUGAACUCUGAGCAACAGGGUUGCCAGUUUGAUUUCCACAUGGGCCAGUGGGCUGUGCCCUCCUCAACUAGAU